rnacentral:rRNA from 1 species
AACGAACGCUGGCGGCAUGCCUAACACAUGCAAGUCGAACGAUGCCUUCGGGCAUAGUGGCGCACGGGUGCGUAACGCGUGGGAAUCUGCCCUCGGGUUCGGAAUAACUCAGAGAAAUUUGAGCUAAUACCGGAUGAUGACGUAAAGUCCAAAGAUUUAUCGCCCAAGGAUGAGCCCGCGUAAGAUUAGCUAGUUGGUGGGGUAAAGGCCUACCAAGGCGACGAUCUUUAGCUGGUCUGAGAGGAUGAUCAGCCACACUGGGACUGAGACACGGCCCAGACUCCUACGGGAGGCAGCAGUGGGGAAUAUUGGACAAUGGGCGAAAGCCUGAUCCAGCAAUGCCGCGUGAGUGAUGAAGGCCUUAGGGUUGUAAAGCUCUUUUACCAGGGAUGAUAAUGACAGUACCUGGAGAAUAAGCUCCGGCUAACUCCGUG